AUGAAAGACAGAGGACAGAGAGACAAACAGAAUGAAAGACAGAGGACAGAGAGACAAACAGAAUGAAAGACAGAGGACAGAGAGACAAACAGAAUGAAAGACAGAGGACAGAGAGACAAACAGAAUGAAAGACAGAGGACAGAGAGACAAACAGAAUGAAAGACAGAGGACAGAGAGACAAACAGAAUGAAAGACAGAGGACAGAGAGACAAACAGAAUGAAAGACAGAGGACAGAGAGACAAACAGAAUGAAAGACAGAGGACAGAGAGACAAACAGAAUGAAAGACAGAGGACAGAGAGACAAACAGAAUGAAAGACAGAGGACAGAGAGACAAACAGAAUGAAAGACAGAGGACAGAGAGACAAACAGAAUGAAAGACAGAGGACAGAGAGACAAACAGAAUGAAAGACAGAGGACAGAGAGACAAACAGAAUGAAAGACAGAGGACAGAGAGACAAAGAGGGGUUAGAAUUCCUCAUGAAACAAGAAUCACAUACAGCAUCAAAACAUUAUAAUUUAUUAAACGGGGGAGAGAGAAGAAAGGGAGAGAGGAGGUUUUCUUUUAAACAGAAGUCUUUCACUAGAAGACUGAAAAGGCCCCACGAUAAUGGCCGCCUUGUUGUUGCUAUUGUUCCCUUGUUCUUGUUGUUGUUUUGGUCCUCCUCCCUCUUCAGAGAGCGGUGGCUAGAGAUACACAGCAAAGCUUUACCAGAGAAGAAAGCGACUUUUAUUUUAGCGUUUUAGUUCUAGUCGACACACUUGGAAACACUGUAGUCAGAAACACAGUUCCCUCCCGACACACGCUCCUCUACCCAAACCUUUUUCUCUUGUGAUACACUAUUAUGCUCCCUCUUGUCCUAAUUUACUCAACCUGUAUGGAUGGGGUCAGGGGUCACCCCCACGGUUACCUCUGAGUCAUUCACACUCGUCCCCAUCGCCCUUAUUUCAGCCCACAUGUCUAGUGCAGGGCUCACCAAACCUGUUCCUGGAGAGAUACCCUCCUGUAGGUUUUAACUCCAACCCUGUUCCUGGAGAGAGACCCUCCUGUAGGUUUUAACUCCAACCCUCCUGUAGGUUUUAACUCCAACCCUCCUGUAGGUUUUAACUCCAACCCCCCUGUAGGUUUUAACUCCAACCCUCCUGUAGGUUUUAACUCCAACCCUCCUGUAGGUUUUAACUCCAACCCUCCUGUAGGUUUUAAUUCCAACCCUCCUGUAGGUUUUAACUCCAACCCUCCUGUAGGUUUUAACUCCAACCCCCCUGUAGGUCUUAACUCCAACCCUCCUGUAGGUUUUAACUCCAGCGCUCCUGUAGGUUUUAACUCCAACCCUCCUGUAGGUUUUAACUCCAACCCUCCUGUAGGUUUUAACUCCAACCCUCCUGUAGGUUUUAACUCCAACCCUCCUGUAGGUUUUAACUCCAACCCUCCUGUAGGUUUUAACUCCAACCCUCCUGUAGGUUUUAACUCCAACCCUCCUGUAGGUUUUAACUCCAACCCUCCUGUAGGUUUUAACUCCAACCCUCCUGUAGGUUUUAACUCCAACCCUCCUGUAGGUUUUAGAACCAGGUGUGUUAGAUGAACGGGUUUUCUUGCCAAGGGACCAAUGAUACCCCACAUCCAGGUUAACCAGCAGCCAAUCAUAUGUUAAC